GUAUCUCCUGAAAGCCCAACAGUUGAGCUGCUGGAUUUCCCAAGAGACUUAUCCGGCCGGCUACAGACCCUUUAGACCCAAUAAUAACGGUUACCACUCGAGCCGCCGGUGUUACCGCGGCGGCUGGCACCGGUCUUGCCCGGCCCUUGCUAUGCAAUGCUUUUUAGGCAUCACGACAGCCAGAUUUGUAACCUGGCACUCGAGGUCCCCUUAUCGCUGUUUCCAGCAUUGUAAAGUUUUCGCGCCUGCUGCGCCCCGUAGGGCCCCCCGUGCCCCCGCCCCGCCCGCCGCGCGCGGCG
rnacentral:rRNA from 1 species